rnacentral:rRNA from 1 species
CACGUAGGGCGCAAGCGUUGUCCGGAAUUAUUGGGCGUAAAGAGCUCGUAGGCGGUCUGUCGCGUCGGCUGUGAAAACUCGGGGCUCAACCCCGAGCCUGCAGUCGAUACGGGCAGACUAGAGUGCGGUAGGGGAGACUGGAAUUCCUAGUGUAGAGGUGAAAUUCGUAGAUAUUAGGAAGAACACCAGUGGCGAAGGCGGCUCACUGGCCCGGUACUGACGCUGAGGCGCGAAAGCGUGGGGAGCAAACAGG